GACGAACGCUGGCGGCGUGCUUAACACAUGCAAGUCGAACGGAAAGGCCCUGCUUUUGUGGGUUGCUCGAGUGGCGAACGUGUGAGUAUCACGUGUGUAACCUGCCCUUGACUUUGGGAUAACUUCUGGAAACUGUGGCUAAUACCGGUUAUGAUCUCCUUCUUCAUGGUGGGGGUUGGAAAGUUUCGGCUGUUGGGGAUGGACUCGCGGCUUAUCAGCUUGUUGGUGGGGUAGUGGCUUACCAAGGCUUUGACGGGUAGCAGGCCUGUGAGGGUGACCGGCCACAUUGGGACUGAGAAACGGACCAGACGCCUACGGGAGGCAGAAGGGGGGAAUAUUGCACAAUGGGCGGAAGCGUGAUGCAGCAACGCCGCGUGCGGGAUGACGGCCUUCGGGUUGUAAACCGAUGUGGCCUGUAACGAAGCGUGAGUGACGGUAAUGGGUAAAGAAGCACCGGCUAACUACGUG
rnacentral:rRNA from 1 species